UGGGGAAUAUUGGGCAAUGGGCGCAAGCCUGACCCAGCAACGCCGCGUGAAGGAAGAAGGCUUUCGGGUUGUAAACUUCUUUUAAGGGGGAAGAGCAGAAGACGGUACCCCUUGAAUAAGCCACGGCUAACUACGUGCCAGCAGCCGCGGUAAUACGUAGGUGGCAAGCGUUGUCCGGAUUUACUGGGUGUAAAGGGCGUGCAGCCGGGACUGCAAGUCAGAUGUGAAAUCCGCGGGCUUAACCCGCGAACUGCAUUUGAAACUGCGGAUCUUGAGUACCGGAGAGGUUAUCGGAAUUCCUUGUGUAGCGGUGAAAUGCGUAGAUAUAAGGAAGAACACCAGUGGCGAAGGCGGAUAACUGGACGGCAACUGACGGUGAGGCGCGAAAGCGUGGGGAGCAAACAGG
rnacentral:rRNA from 1 species